CAGAAUUACAACUUGUUUGAAAUGUCAGAGAGAGUACUUGUACAUUUAUGCUUCCAUAAAUAUUCUUUUCUUUCUAUAUAUAGACUUUAUUGAACUAACUUUUGAUAUGCAUCAACCUUGUAGUAGAUUUCCUGAUCUUUUUCUUGGUUUCAAUCUUUGGCAAUAAGAGCUUGAAGGUUCUUUCAAAUGAGUGGAAGAAUGGUACUGAAUAUUUGACUGAAACCACCGGAGUCUCUGCUGUUGAAUGUCCCGCAAAAGAGGAAGACCUUUCUUUGAUAUGUGGGAUUCCUUUUCCACCACCAGAUACUACACAAACUGUCUCAAUGGAUUACUCGAAUAUAGAAGAAAAUAUCGUUGAGAAGAAAGAUGUCAGUGAGAUGAGGUGAGAGGAAAAUAUCACAGAGAAGAACGAUGACACUGACAUGAAGCGAAAACCAAAACCUAUUGUGUUCAAGUAUGAAGACGAACUGGAGGCUUUAAAGAGGAAGCUAAGAGAAGGAUGCAAGGAUGCAGAAGAAGCAAAGAAAAAGAGAAAGAUUACAAUCAUUGACAUGAAUGACCGACAAUCAGUACAAAGCCAUAACAAAAAGAAGCCUGAAGUAAAGCACGGAUGCCGCAUAAACAAAUUUAUCAAAAUGAGGCCUAAACAUAAUUGCCACUCUUCGAUUUGGUAGAUAGUUUCAGUUACUGUUUUCCAUUGAGUUUUAAAAAUAGCUUAUGUAAAUAUUUUGAUUGUAAAAUGUUUCUGUUGAUGUAAUGUCUCAGUUGUCUUUGUUUAUUUCUAAGUAAAAUUUUUUAUUUUCUGUAGUGUGAUAGACUGAUUUUCAAAAUGGUCCAUUGUAGUUAAGCUCGAAGAAUGUAUGCUAAGUCUCACCAUGUUUUUGCUCAAGCUCUCUGUCAUGCACUUUUUAUUGUCAGUUUCACCUGAAACUGAUAAAAAGAGCAAUGUUGAGUAGAUGAAAUGCCUGAUAUUGUAUGAGAA